rnacentral:rRNA from 1 species
UCAUGCCUCGUGUGUGAAGAAGGUCCCCGGAUUGUAAAGACUUUAAGUUGGGAGGAAGGGUACUUACCUAAUACGUGAGUAUUUUGACGUUACCGACAGAAUAAGCACCGGCUAACUCUGUGGCCAGCAGCCGCGGAAUACAGAAGGGUGCAAGCGUUAAUCGGAAUUACUGGGCGUAAAGCGCGCCAAGGUGGUUCGUUAAGUUGGAGUGAAAUCCCCGGGCUCAACCUGGGAACUGCAUCCAAAACCGGCGAGCUAGAGUAUUGGAGAGGGUGGUGGAAUUUCCUGUGUAGCCGGUGAAAUGCGUAGAUUAUAGGAAGGAAACACCAGUGGCGAAGGGACCACCUGGACUGAUACCCGACACUGAGGGCGAAAGCGUGGGGAGCAAACAGGAUUAGAUACCCUGGAGUCCACGCCGUAAACGAUGCAACUAGCCGUUGGGAGCCUUGAGCUCUUAGUGGCGCAUCCAACGCAUUAAGUUGACCGCCUGGAGUACGGCCGCAAGGUAAAACUCAAAUGAAUUGACGGGGGCCCGCCAAAAGCGGUGGAGCAUGGGUUUAAUUCGAGGGCAAGCGAAGAACCUUACCAGGCCUUGACAUCCAAUGAAUUUCCAGAGAUGGAUGGGGUGCCUUCGGGAAAAUUGAGACAGGUGCUGCAUGGCUGUCUCAGCUCGUGUCGUGAGAUGUUGGGUUAAGUCCCGUAACGAGCGCAACCCUUGUCCUUAGUUACCAGC